CCCAACUCCCUCAAUCUUUUCUCAUAGGAGAGGUGCUUCAGCCCUUUGAUCAUCUUUGGCCAUCCUCUGGAUCUGCUCACAUCCUUCUGUGCUGGGGGCCCCAGGCCUAGACAUAGUAGUCCAGAUGGGGCCUUAAAAGGGCAGAGCAGAGCAGGACAUCCCUCUCCCUGCUGCCUCCCCCUUUUUUGAUGCAGACCAGGAUACACUGCUGGUUCACGUGUGUUUUUUUGUCCAUCAGGACUCCUAAGUCCUUCUCCACAGAACUGUUCUCAAAGAGUCUACUCCUAGUCUGAACUUGUAUCUGGGAUUGCCUCAAUCCAAGUGCACUUGGCCUUGUUAAACCUCAUUAGAUUCCCAUGUGCCCACUUUUCGAGCAUGUCCAGUUCCCUCUGGAUGGCAUCCCUCCCUUCUGUUGCAUCAAUUGCAACACUUAGCUUGGUAUCGUCAGCAAACUUGCUGAGGGUACAUUCAAUCCCACUGUCUAUGUCAUUGAUAAAGAUGCUGAAGACAAGCCCCAAGAUGGACCCCUGGGGGACACAAUUUGUGACCAGUUUUCCCUUGGACAUAGAGCCGUAGACAAUGACCCUCUGGCUACAACCAUCCAAUCAGUUCUUUGUCCACCUAAUUGCCCAGCCUUCAAAUCAGUCUCUCUCCAAUUUAGAGAUAAGGAUGUGGUGCGGGACCAUGUCAAAGACCUUGCACAAAUCAAGGUAGAUGAAAUCAGUUGCCCUUCCUUUGUCCACUGAUGGUGUCACUCCGUCAUAGAAAAGCACCAGACUGGUGAGGCACAAUUUGCCCUUGGUGAAGCCACGCUGUCUGUCUCAGAUCAAACCAUGUGAUCUCACAUGUGCCUUAACAUCUUUUCUAGGAGGAUCCAUUCCAUGAUCUUCCCAGGCAAGGUGGUGAGGCUCACCAGUCUGUAGUUCCCCAGGUUCUCUUUCUUCUCUUUUUUGAAUGUGGGAGUGAUGUUUCCCUUUCUCCAGUCACCAGGGACUUCUCCUGGCAACCACAUCAACCAGUUAUUUCAGAACCCUGGGAUGUGUUAUCUGGCCCCAUAGACUUGCACAUAUUCCACCUCAUGAGGAGGUCUCAGACUUGAUCUGCUCUUAUACUGGGAGGGAUUUUGCUUCCCUGACCCCUACUUAGAAGUUCAGGGACACAAGAGGCAUGAGAAGCCUGACAGAUCAUGAAGACUGAGGUGAAUAGCUUGUUAAGUACUUCAGCCUUCUCCAUGUCCAUGGAGGCCAGCUCUUCCUUUUCAAUGAUCAGGGGGAAUACACUCUCCUUUGCCUUUCUCGUCUAUCUCUCUAAAGAAUCCCUUCUUGUUAUUUUUCAUAUCCUCUUACCAAGUUCAUUUCCAUCUGCACCUUGGAUUUCCUUACUCCAUUUCUGAACAUCUGGACAGCAUCUCUAGAUUCUUCUCAGGCCACCCAUCCCCACUUCCACUGUUUUUUCUUUUCCUUUUUUUUUCCCUUUUUUUUUAAUUUUUAUUUUUUCCCUCAUUCUGACCAGCAAGUCCUUGCUCAGCCAUGCUGGUUUCCUGCCUCGUCUGUCUCAUUUCUUAUUCUGGGGGAUGGAGAGCUCUUGUGCUCUCAGAAAAGCAUCCUUAAAGUGCUGCCAGUUUGGUCCUAUUACUUUGUCUCUAAGGACAGUUUCCAAGGGGAUCUCAUCUAACACUUCCUUUAACAGCCUGAAGGUGACUCUUCUGAAGUUCAGGGUCCUGACUCCACUCUUUACCAGGCUUACAUUCCCCAAGGUCAUGAACUCAACCAGGGCAUGAUUGCUAUAGUCCAGGCUGCCUCCAGUCUUAACCUCUUUUACAAUCUCUUCCAUGUUGGUAAGCACCAGAUCCAGCAAUGCUCCACCUCUUGUUGGUUUGUCCAUUACCUAAAUCAGAAAGUUAUCGUCAGUGGACUCCAGGAGUCUCCUGGGUCACUUGCAGCUCACAAUGUUGUUUUCCCAGCUGAUAUCCGAAUGGUUGAAAUCUCCCAUCCAGCACAAUGCCUCUUGCAGCUGAAGCAAGAAGGCCUUGUCAACAGCUUCCCUUGAUGAGGCAGCUUGGAGUAGACCCUGACCACCAGAUGCCCUUUACUGGUCCUGUCCCUAAUCUUAACCCACAGGCUCUUAACCUGUUCCUGACUGUUUCUCAGGGGCAGCUCUUUGCAGACUACCCACUUCUUAACAAGAAGAGGGCAAUUCCCCCACUUCUUCUACUUUGCCUAUCCCUUCUAAAAAGUUUACAGCCUUCAAUCAUGGUGUUCUUGUGAGUCAUCCCACCAUGUUUCCGUGAUAGCAAUAAGAUCAUAGUUUUCCAAUUGCAUCAUGGUUUCCAAUUCCUCCUGCUUACUUCCCAUGCUGUGUGCAUUGGUACAGAGGCACUUCAGCUGAAAAUGCCAAAAGUCAUAUCAUUGUCUGUCUUGGACCCUUUAUAGAUACAUAUAUAAAACCAGAUAAAUAUGAAUAUUUGGAGCUAAAUGCGUGUGCUGCAAGAGCAUGUUAUUGAUGAGAAAAAAGUCUGAAGGCACAGUGACUCCUAGCUCAUGGCCAGCAGACCGUUGCUGUUGUUUUGGGGAAGAAAAUGGGAAAAGCAGAGCCAGCCAAGGAGCAGACAGCCUACACAGAGAUGGAUUUCGCUCCUGGCCCUUUCUCAGGCAAGGCGAGAGCUUUUCCUGAGUGCAACCCACAAGACUGGAUCCACAGCUCUUCGCCUUGCAGCACUUCAAGACUUCCAGGUUGGAGACAAUACGUCUGGAAAUCUGGGGUGAGCUGCACCUCCUGUGUGUUUUACUUGGACAGUAGGGUGUAAGUACCACGCUGCUGUGCUCUUAUUUAGCUCUGUUAUUACAGCGCUGUUUGUGAAGCAGGAAGAGUAAUCCUCAUGUAAAAAUAAUAGUAUUGCAGAGCUAGACAGCAGAUGGUGUUAUUAAAUACCUGGGCAAAGUCUAAGGUCAUAACGCUCUAACAAUUAAAAAGAUCUAUUGUCUAUCACUUAAUAGGUAACCUCCUAGCGCAGGAUGUUUGCAAAGCUGAGCAGAGAGGCGAGUAGUGUCUUGUCCAAGCCCAGAUAGCUCUUCCAGUUAAGCAAAUACUUGGCAACUAUUUUCUUGUCUAAAUUUGGUGCUACCACCACAUCAGGUAGAUACAAUACAAUCCCUUAUCAUUUCCUAAAUGAUCCCUUCUCUAAUCAACUCCAUUAGGUUUAUAAAUAGACUGCAGCUGCUUGAGGACUGGUGAUAGUUGCCUGACAUCCAGGUUCACUUAUAAGACCAUGGAGAGGCAACUUAUUGGAUGAUGUAAAUGGACAUAAGCUUGCUGCCAGGCACAUCUCCCACCAGCUGCAGGAGAUACUGGUGUGUGAGGUGUGCCUGCCAGCAGCCGUGGCUUUCCACAAGCACCUGCAGCUAUGGGCCUCUCUCCCUGGUGAAACCUUCUUGUCUGAGUUGGUGAAGUUGAAGCCGAGCCUCAGUAAUAUGUGGCAAGUCUCUUCCUGCUGCAUAACAUUUUCAAUCAGAACUCUGAGGAUUAAUUUUAUAUUGCAGAGAUUGCACUUUCUGCAUUUUUUCCUUGGUGUUUGCCUGGCAUCUUGUGACCCGUACCUCUCAGUUGAACCUCUCAGCUGAAUGCUGGCAUCCAGGGAUGCAGCUUGCCUUUUCUUCUGCUAUGAGCUUGUUUUACACACAAAGCAAGACUUUCUGCAUCGUUUUCAGAGAUGUGAACCCAAAAUCAUCUCUUCUGGGACUACAAGCAAAAUAAGGAGGCUAACAGUCACUCCUUGGGGUAGGUUUUGGAUUUAGUUUAAUGACUAUAAUAGUGGCAAAUGCCUUGGCAGCAGAAAUAGACUGAUAUGGAGAACAAUAGGGAACCUGUGACUUGGUACAUUUGUCUCACAGAGGGCAGACAGGAGACAGGGAGUUAAGCAGAGUCCUGUGGCUGCUAAUAGCUUCACACAGUACUUUUCCUCCGUGGUAAUCACUCUCCUGCUAGGAUCCACGAACUUGAGAACAAAGUACAUUUUAUUAUUUACAAGGGUUAGAUGACAAAUACAAACAGAUGGUGCAAAGAUGACUCCUAAUGCAUAGUGAUCAAGGAGUUUAAUAUUCAUGGGUAAAGGCCUGGAAGAUUAAGUAAACAGAUUCAGAUAUGCAGGGGAAAGUAUCUCAUAACAAUGCAUAAAGUCAGCGUGGCCUUUUGUGCCCCGUUACCAUUUGGAUCAACACAAUUAACAUAAAGGGAAAGACUGGCUGAACUUUCCAGUUUCCCUAAAGUGCUCAAAUCAGGGAUUUCUGAGAGGAAACCCUAGCAAGGAGUUUUGGCAAGAUGGAGAAAAACCCUUCUCUUUUGUUAUUGAACUUUCUGUUCCUGCUCCAAUGCCCCUUCUGCAAAACAGGUUGCAACAGCUGAGCGUGCUGCAGCCUGCUGCUGUGGCUGCCCUUACGUAAAGCAUUCUCACCUGGGUGACACAGGGCUUUUUGCUGCGACCGGUCAGAUGAGUGAGCAAGGGUAACUCCCAUGAGCAAGGGUUGUGGCAUUAGGAGCCUAACCAUGCUGCUCUGCUGUUAAUGACACUUCUAAUGGCAAAAGCUGGGAUCUCGUUGGUUUUGCUUUCACAUGUAGUCAUCUUGCAGAGAGGAUUUCAACACUGAUGAAUAUUGCCAGUCAGGUCCUUGGUAUGAAUCAUCCUGUCCUUCCAGAUGACUUUUUCUUUCUGCUGUUUACAUCAGCCGCAGAGAAUUUUGAUGCUUUCUUGUGUAUGUGUGCAAAGGAAUGUUUCAUUUGAGAAGAUAUUUCCAAACUCUCUGAAGUCAUCCCUCUGUAUCAUUCCUUUUGUUGUUGCUGUUCUCGCUUUGAGCGUGGGCAGUUAGCGAGUUGUUUCUUAGGAGUUACUGACUGAGCACUGAACAAAGGGCAAAAAAGAAAGGCAGGGAGAAGGGUUCUUGAAAGAAUCCUGCUGGACUGUGCCAAGAAGUUUGCUCUGCAGCAUAGAUCAGCCUGCUAUUUUCUUUGUCUACCUCAGGUUGUCGGAUGAACAAGGGAUUUGGGGAUUGGUGUGCUCAGUCCUGGAAAGAUGUACAUUUGAGCAGGCCAGCAGCCCCUGCCUUCUUUUAUACAAGGCCCUCAUCACUGCAGUAGUGUCAGGACACUGUGGCCUAUGGACAAAUGGGAGAAGCUAGGGAGGGUUGAGUUAGAGCUGGGGAUGGCUUAAAACCCAAGCCACAACAUUCAAACGGUGGUGGAGAGCUGCCCAGAAGCCACAGUGCAGUGUCGGGAGCUGAGCACCUCCACCUUUGGUAUCUGCCCAGAAAAUGGUCUGGCUCCAUGGAUGUAUUCAUGGGAAUAGCUGUAUAAGCUGGAAUACAGUCAAAGAUACAUGGCAGAGAAACCUGCCCUGUGAAUAAAGCCUUUGUUAAGAGGGAUUCCAUCUGUACAUGAUUUCAUCAGCUGCAUGAAAUGUGCAGGACAUUUAUAUGGUGAAUUAGGCACAGCUCCUGUUUUGAGAGAGAAAAUGCUUCUGUGUGCUUUUCCACAAAAGUCUGUUGCUACACAAGGAGGGGAAACCUGCAAUGCCAUUACUGUUCUCACAGGACAGGACAAGCAUUGGGACUGUGCUAACAUGAUUAUAAAAAUAAUGUGCAUUUAAAAAGCAUCAAAUGCACAAAAAGAUUGGCAUCGCCGUUUUCUUUGCCUUCUCUCCCUUAAAUGUGGAGAUGCUUAAAACAGUGUAAAUAACAUUCAAGACAGCUAAAGAGCAGUCCACAGUGCUGAAACACUUCUGCUGUCCAAAGCAGCUCCAUGCCAGCUAUUUCAUUUACCAUAUGUUUGGUGUGGUUUUGGCAGAGUCAACAUGAGGAUUUUUGGGCAGGCCUGCGAAACAGUUUUUCCCUUCCUCCACCCAAACGUGACCCAGUCCUGUCUGCCAUGAUCACGCCAUUGCACAGGGUCAGCCUGGCUGUUUUGGGCAGAAUUAGUCAGAGGGGCCUCUGGAAAGAUGCCCAAGGAAGGCUGAUUCAUUUUCCAUAUGAGUGGUUGCAUUAAGGAGCAGGAAGGAGAAGGAAGACGCAGUGUUUGGGAUGGAGAUGCUGGGUGAUGCUGAAGGACCACACGGGGAUUAUAGGGUUCCUUCUCCAGGUCCAAGGCAGGUGUGGUUGGGAUGCACUGGCUGUGGGGCAAGCUGCUAGCCCCAUGGCACUGUUUUCAGCCAUCCUGCAGGAACUGCCAGAGGCUGUGAAUCAGUGACUGGAAACGUGGAGCUUUGCUCCUGGGGUUGUCUGGUUUCAGAUAUGGAGAACCUGGGCUCCAAGCAGCCCAGUCCAGCAGAGAACUGCCUGAUCUGUGAGCAGACUCUCCAGGGUGGGGCUUAUUUUUCCUUAAAAAUGAGUGGGAUGCAGUGGCCAGAUGCACAGUCUAGCUGGUGCUAUGGGUUUGGGACUUGUCUAGCCAAACAAGGGAAGAAGAAAAGGGAAUUUAAACACACCUCUCUGCCCUUUUCUAAGCAUGUGCUGAAAGGUGUGAAGGUACAGCUGCGUCAUUCCUUCCUGCUGUGUGCUCCGAGCAUGCAUUCUCAGCAGUAGUUCACAGAAGUGAACCUUGUUCCCCAAGCAGAGGAGCUUUGCCACAGGGUGCUGGGGUAUCUGAUUAGUAGACUUGUUCACCUCAGGGAGCAGCUUUGCCAGGUGAGCCCUCCAAGCAAAGAGCUAUAACCCCUGGUUAGCACUGAGCCUGCGAUCCCUCCCUCGCUUUCUGCUGGAUUAAUUGCUAGAAAGGUUGUGCAGCUGCAUGGCAGCCCAGCACCCCAUCUGGUUGGCCAUACCUCUGCAUUUCUGUUCUCUGAAACAGUGUUUCUGACCUGAUUCUAGGGGCACGAGCCCCUCUUCCCAGAGUUGCCUUUAAUCCAGGCUGGCUGCAUGCUGCCUGCUGUCAGCGGCCCUUUUGUGCCUCCACGAGUGUUUGCUGGUGCAGGGCUGAGUGACUCAGCCUGCGCCCCUGCCCUGAGCACUGGAGAGCUGGGAGGGGCUGCAGAGUGCCUGGCUGCAGAUCUCAUCCUUCCCUUUUCUCAUUUCAGCAAAACCGUUGCAGAUUUCACGGAGCUUUCCAUCACAGGCAAACAAAGAGGAAAUUGAUUCAGAGCGAGAGCAUUAACAUCACCAAAUAGUAAAGGCAUUGCCUAAUGCUAUCAAGCAAGCUUCCUCUACUGCAGAAGCAGAGAGCAAUGCAAAUGCCAAGAGGAAUGGUUCCCACCAGCCUCGGAGCGCUGACACACUCACUCAGCAAGCACCUGCCCUGGCCUCAGGCACAUCAGACUGGCCUUUGAUCACCAGAGAUCAAGAGUAUUUCCACCCAUACAAGGCACUUUCAUCAUUAGCAAGCCUCUGCUGUCCGUGGCUGUGUCUGCACUGUGAACUGUCUUUCAGAGAUGUGUAAGGAAACCUGAGGCUUCUUGAAAGCAUUCUUGCCCUUUCCUAUCCCUGUGAAGUUGGUUAUCAGUUCUACAAAUUCUUACAUACAGAAAAUGCACUUGCCUGCAGCAGAGGAGGUUCCUUGAUCCUCUCCAACUGAAAACACCCCUUGGGAUGGUAGCAGCUGGUGUGGGCACAGGAGAUCAGUGCUUUUCUGGCUAGAGCCGCCUUUGGUGAUGCCAUCUCCCCAUGCAGAGGACAGAACGGAUGCUGCUGUGCUGCUGCCUGCAUCGGUUGGACUUUGGUUGGCAGGGCAUUGUAAAAUGACUCAAUGGGGAUCAGAAAGUGGUAGGAUCAAACAAAAAUCGCUUUGAAGCUGCUGUCAGUUGGCAAAAGAAUAAUUUAAAAUUAAACCAGUUCUGAAACUAUCUACCACAAGCGGUUACAAGCCUCGGUGUUGUAAAACUGGGCUGUUUCCUCUUUUCCUCACAACGAUGAUGUCCUUGAUUCCUCCUUAGGCUUCUUUGGCAAUUCUUGCACAGUAAUAAAAAGGCAUGACACAGCAUAUGUUUUGCGGCUCACCUUGCCAAACAAAAUUACAACGUUAGUAUAGCUUCUUCGCCUUUGCAUAAUUAACUCUACAAAGGAGAUAGAGAGAGGGUAAGCAUCUGUGCCAAGACAAAAGCAAAAACAAGAAGUACGGAAGUCUGUUUUAAAGUCAUCUCUGUUCAAAGCAAUUCUUUUAAAAAUGACUUAUCUUGAAACUGUUGCAGACAAUUAGGGAAAGUCAUACAGUUUCUAAAUGUCUGUUAUGUUUUACGUCUGCAGCUACAUUGCUAAGAUUCAAAAAAAAAGAAGUCAUUGCCUCUUUGAGAGCUCAUGAAAGUUGUACAGGAGCACAUCUUCUGUGCAACAUGUGCUGGGGCCGAGAGGAAACAGUCUGCCCAGGAGUCACUGCCCACUCUUCAGGCUCAGCUGGCAUCAUUCUCAUGUUUAAUAGUGUUCAGGACAGUCUCUCUGUUGAACUGAACUACACAGCUGCCACAAGGGGAACUUGGUGCAGGUGGAGAGGUAAGUGGGGUGAGAAGUGGGCCAGGUUCUGCCAUCUAUCCCACUGCCUUACUGUCAUCCUUGUGUCUUGAAAGCACAGCACUUGGGCAUUCCAAGCAAAGGAAGGGAUCUCCGGAUACACAGGAUGAUGAAAGGGAAAAAGGGAAACCCUUCACUCUAUGGAUCCACCAACCCUGUUUCAGAAAAAAGGCACAAAGCUACCACAAGAAGCCCACUGUGCUUUUACCUAAACUAGUGUUAAUAGUUGAAUUAGGAUUCAAGCAGCCUGAAUAGUUCUAAUAUAGACCGUUAAAGAGCAAAUCCUUUUUUGCACUAAUGCCAAAGGCAAGACUCCCAGCAAAAAGUCUGGCCCCAAGUUUCUGGCAAGUCCCCAGGCAAUCCAACUAAGAAAAGAAGAAAAACAAAACAAAAACAAAAACAAACAAACAAAAACAAAACAAACAAAC